UACGUAGGGAGCAAGCGUUGUCCGGAAUCAUUGGGCGUAAAGCGCACGUAGGCGGCCCUGUAAGUCCGUUGUGAAAGUCAAAGGCUCAACCUUUGAAAGCCGAUGGAUACUGCAGGGCUAGAGUCCGGAAGAGGCGAGUGGAAUUCCUGGUGUAGCGGUGGAAUGCGCAGAUAUCAGGAGGAACACCAAUAGCGAAGGCAGCUCGCUGGGACGGUACUGACGCUAAGGCGCGAAAGCGUGGGGAGCGAACAGGA
rnacentral:rRNA from 1 species